CGUGUAGGCGGUCAGGUAAGUGGAAUGUGAAAUGCCCCGGCUCACCCGGGGACCGGCAUCCCAAACUGCCUGGCUUGAGUAUGGGAGAGGAUGGAGGAAUUCCUGGUGUAGCGGUGAAAUGCGUAGAUAUCAGGAGGAACACCGGUGGCGAAGGCGUCCAUCUGGCCCAAUACUGACGUUGAGGCGCGAAAGCUAGGGGAGCAAACG
rnacentral:rRNA from 1 species